rnacentral:lncRNA from 1 species
UUUUUCUUUAUCUUUUAUCUCCAGCUAAACUCUUUUUCUUCCUCUUUCUUCAUACUUCACCUACUUGUCUCGGUGCGCCAAGAGAGUAUGUGACAAGUAGAUGUGGAAAUACGAUAUGCUAUGUGGCUAUACUGUUAAGACAGGUUAUUCGACAUUACACCAGAACGUGUACAGCUUGGAAUAUGAUGAAGUGGGCAUGGUUAUUACGUGAGUCUUGUGCAGUGCUGUACUAUCAAAGGAGAUGGUGUUCGCAUUGAAAAUGUUGCUCGAUAAGCUCUUCACUAGAGAUGCACGGGUUUGAAGAGGGCUAUUGGGAAUUAACCGUGAGAGCUCUGAUUCCAUUUUCCCCGACAAAUCAAGUCUUCUACUCUUCCUCUCCUUGUAAGUGAGUGUAUAUGGUGCCCAUCGAACGACAUUACUAUCUUUUGUUUUUAUUUUUAAUGUUCCUUGAUCCGAUCUAGGAGUUUUCAAACUUCCCUUAAUGCUUCUUCUUUUAAUUAUGGAUGUA